GCAGAAGACAGGCCCGUUAUGGGCGGUGAACAUUCUCUCACAGCGGUCAGGCCUCCGGAUGUCCCAGAGCUGCACGUUGCCAUUCUCAAAGGUGGAUGCGAAGGUGAAGUAGUCCCGGAUGCUGAACUGGACGUCCCGCACACUCUCCGACUGGCCUGUGGGCAGGAUGUCAAUGGAGGGAGAAGGUGAAGGGCUCCGGGAGAGAGAGUGGCCAAUGGUGGAGGCCUUGGACAGACUGUGGACUGCAGUCAUAUGCCUGCCCGCGGCCAAGGUGCACAAGGGAUAGCUGGCUCAAGGCCAGCUGCCAAGGAGCUGGGCCUGCUGGGAAAGGGUGCCAGGCAGCAUACCCCACCUCCUCUCCAUCCCUGAGCUGAGGACCCUGGAGAUCUCGGUGGGCUUCCUGCUGUGAAGUGGCCUGGAGCUCUGGGCAGCAAAACAAACCCUCUGCUCAGCAGCUCAGUGCUCUCUGGGGGCAUAUCUGAAGACCUCUGAUGCACACGAUGCACUUCUCCACCUGCCCGACCCGCCUCCAGGGUCUCACCCGAGAAGGUGCUGACAGAGUCCUUCCUGCGGAGGUCAAAGCACUUCAUGAAGCCGUCCUGGGAACCGCUGAGCAGCACGUGGGCCUCAGUGGGAUGGAAGCAGACUUUGUUCACUGUGCGCUUGUGCUCUGUGAACAGCUGGUCCUGCUUGUUGCGGGAUGGCCGGCCCAGGUUCCACGUGACCACCACGCCAUUGGUGGCCGCCGUGGCCAGCAGGUUCUCGUCCAUCUGGUGCCAGACUACGUCCGCGCAGCUCAGGUUGAGGGAGGGCUUGCGGCCCACACGGAGGUUCAGCUUCUCCACAAACUGCUCGUCCUCAAUGGCAUAGAUCUUGAAGAUGCUGCGGCCUGCCACGACCACCUGGGCUGCAUCACGGCACACGCUGAUGGCAUUGGCUGGUGCAUCCAGGUGGCAGUGCAUAGUGCGGCCCGUCAGCGUGCUGCCACCCAGGGCCGUGGUCACUCGGGACAUCUUCUCCA